GCUAGUGUUGUCGUCAGCUCGUGUCGUGAGAUGUUGGGUUAAGUCCCGCAACGAGCGCAACCCCUAUUCGUUAGUUGCCAUCAUUCAGUUGGGCACUCUAAGCGAGACUCGGCGGUAAUAAACCGGAGGAAGGUGGGGAUGACGUCAAAUCAUCAUGCCCCUUAUGACCUGGGCUACACACGUGCUACAAUGGUUGGUACAACGAGUUGCGAGUCGGUGACGGCGAGCUAAUCUCUUAAAGCCAAUCUCAGUUCGGAUUGUAGGCUGCAACUCGCCUACAUGAAGUCGGAAUCGCUAGUAAUCGCGGAUCAGCACGCCGCGGUGAAUACGUUCCCGGGCCUU
rnacentral:rRNA from 1 species